rnacentral:rRNA from 1 species
GACGAACGCUGGCGGCGUGCUUAACACAUGCAAGUCGAACGAAGAGCGAUGGAAGCUUGCUUCUAUCAAUCUUAGUGGCGAACGGGUGAGUAACGCGUAAUCAACCUGCCCUUCAGAGGGGGACAACAGUUGGAAACGACUGCUAAUACCGCAUACGAUCUAAUCUCGGCAUCGAGGAUAGAUGAAAGGUGGCCUCUACAUGUAAGCUAUCACUGAAGGAGGGGAUUGCGUCUGAUUAGCUAGUUGGAGGGGUAACGGCCCACCAAGGCGAUGAUCAGUAGCCGGUCUGAGAGGAUGAACGGCCACAUUGGGACUGAGACACGGCCCAGACCCCUACGGGAGGCAGCAGUGGGGAAUCUUCCGCAAUGAACGAAAGUCUGACGGAGCAACGCCGCGUGAGUGAGGACGGCCUUCGGGUUGUAAAGCUCUGUUAAUCGGGACGAAAGGCCUUCUUGCGAAUAGUGAGAAGGAUUGACGGUACCGGAAGAGAAAGCCACGGCUAACUACGUG